UGGGGAAUAUUGCACAAUGGGCGCAAGCCUGAUGCAGCCAUGCCGCGUGUGUGAAGAAGGCCUUCGGGUUGUAAAGCACUUUCAGCGAGGAGGAAGGUGGUGAACUUAAUACGUUCAUCAAUUGACGUUACUCGCAGAAGAAGCACCGGCUAACUCCGUGCCAGCAGCCGCGGUAAUACGGAGGGUGCAAGCGUUAAUCGGAAUUACUGGGCGUAAAGCGCACGCAGGCGGUUUGUUAAGUCAGAUGUGAAAUCCCCGGGCUCAACCUGGGAACUGCAUUUGAAACUGGCAAGCUAGAGUCUCGUAGAGGGGGGUAGAAUUCCAGGUGUAGCGGUGAAAUGCGUAGAGAUCUGGAGGAAUACCGGUGGCGAAGGCGGCCCCCCUGGACGAAGACUGACGCUCAGGUGCGAAAGCGUGGGGAGCAAACAGGAUUAGAUACCCCUGGUAGUCCACGCUGUAAACGAUGUCGAUUUGGAGGUUGUGCCCUUGAGGCGUGGCUUCCGGAGCUAACGCGUUAAAUCGACCG
rnacentral:rRNA from 1 species